CCUACGGGAGGCAGCAGUGAGGAAUAUUGGUCAAUGGACGAGAGUCUGAACCAGCCAAGUCGCGUGAGGGAAUAAUGCCCUACGGGUCGUACACCUCUUUUGCCGGGGAGCAAGGGCGGGGACGUGUCCCGGCCCGGAGAGUACCCGGAGAAAAAGCAUCGGCUAACUCCGUGCCAGCAGCCGCGGUAAUACGGAGGAUGCGAGCGUUAUCCGGAUUCGUUGGGUUUAAAGGGUGCGCAGGCGGGCCUUUAAGCCGGCGGUAAAAUCGCGGGGCUCAACCCCGCCGAGCCGUCGGAACUGGGGGCGUUGAGUGCGGCGGAGGCAUGCGGAAUGCGCGGUGUAGCGGUGAAAUGCGUAGAUAUCGCGCAGAACCCCGAUUGCGAAGGCAGCGUGCCGUGCCGCCACUGACGCUGAGGCACGAAAGCGCGGGGAUCGAACAGGAUUAGAUACCCGAGUAGUC
rnacentral:rRNA from 1 species